AUAGUCAAAACUACAAUUCAACGACCAUGUUCAAUCCUUCGACCAUCUCCAUGUGCUUCCUCCGAUUCCUUCGACAAACACCCAAACACAGACUCCACGGCGAAGAACGAAAGUAACGAAUUCUCAAAUCCCUAAAAUCGUCCUAUUCGAAGCAACUCGAAUCAACAUCCACCGUGCGCGUCGCGUUCAAGCAUCUCGAUUCGGCGGAAGAAUCACCAAAACCGAAUUUUGAACGGAUAACAAAUCUUAUCCCUUCUCAACUUCAAUAUUUCCUUCUUCUUCUCCAAACCGUCGAGACCGUAUGCACCGCACUUGGAGUUCAUGAAUUAUUCUGCGAUCGGCGACACAAUGUGGUAUUGCAACACAGAAGAAUCAUUGGUUGGCAGAAAGAGAGCAGAUGAAGGUUAAAUGGAUUGGACUCCAAUGCGGUGGCUCUGGUGUCAUCAACGAUAUUCGCAGGUGAUUUUCCUCUUUUCCGGUGUUGCUUUGAUUCAACGAGCACCUUGUCCCGGCGUUCUCAAAUCCGCGAAUAUCCUUGGCUUAGUCGAGAAUCUUGAAGCCCCAAAACGAACCUGAAAUUCGAUUACAAACAGGUUGCAAUGCUGCGAGCAAAUUCUCGGUUGCCGAUCGAAUGUGAAGCAGAAGGAGGAAGAUUGAAGAGUAAAACAGAAUGGAGGUUGAACAGAGUGAAGUUUGAACCGAAUGAGGAUUGAAGGUAUUGAGUUCUUGAAGAGGAAGCUUGGGGCUUGAAGAAGAUGAGGGUGAAGAAUGUGACUUGUAGAAAAAUGAAGAAUCUCUUGAGAAUGAGAUUGGUUGUUAUGCCUUAAUAAAAGUGAUGAUAUGGUUCAUAUGGAGUGCUGCAGAAUGGUGAUAUAUUGGCUAAUGUGACUUGGUCAGACUGAUGUAGAUUGGAUGGCCUGAGUCUUGAUGGUUAAGUAGUUUUGACUUGAUGUUUUUAUGGAUUUUCAUGGCAUUUAUCCUGACCCAGUCUGGCAGCAUAUGUGUAUUACGAGUUCUAUGUGCUUCGAUUGCUGCAGGGUUUAUAUUCUUGGUUUUGCUUGGCUGCUACAUGAUUGGAGCCAUGUGGUGUAAAGGAUACUACUUUGGACCGUAUGCAAUGUUGUAGGUAUGUCCAAGUCCUGAUGGUUAUCAGGUUAAGGUUUUGCAGCUUUUGUCUUGUUCGAAGCAUGGAGCCUUGGCCUUGAAGUGCAUUGUGUAGCCAUUCUGACCAUGUGUAGUUCUGUUUUGGAUUGCUAGGCUUGCAUUGUUACUGCAUGAUGUAUGAAUUAUGUGUGACCUAUUACAUUGUGUAUUGUUUUUCUUGAACAUGUGAAUGAUUGGAUUUGUAGGAUAGCAUGCACACAAGUGACGUCAAGGCUUGACAAAAUUGAAUUGGAAAAAAAAAUGCAAGCAAGUGAAGAAUCACAUACCUUUUUAGGGUUUAGGAUAUAAGAUGAGGUUGGUUGACUAAAAAAUCAACAAUUGACCAAAAAGUCAAGUUUUGUAAAAAUUGCAUUUUUAUUUUAUUUUGUAAUGGACUAUAUAAAUGCUUAUUUUCAUGAAUGAAAUGCCUUUAUUUGAAUAGAA